GACGAACGCUGGCGGCGUGCUUUACACAUGCAAGUCGAACGGUAAGGCCCUUCGGGGUACACGAGUGGCGAACGGGUGAGUAACACGUGGGUGAUCUGCCCUGCACUUCGGGAUAAGCCUGGGCAACUGGGUCUAAUACCGGAUAGGCCCAUGCGCUUCACGGUGUGUGGUGGAAAGCUUUUGCGGUGUGGGAUGGGCCCGCGUCCUAACAGCUUGUUGGUGGGGUAAUGGCCUACCAAGGCGACGACGGGGAGACGGGCUGAGAGGGUGACCGGCCACACUGGGAGUGAGAGACGGCCCAGACGCCUACGGGAGUCAGCAGUGGGUAAUAUUGCACAAUGGGCGCAAGCCUGAUGCAGCGACGCCGGGUGAGGGAUGACGGCCUUCGGGUUGUAAACCUCUUUCAGUAGGGACGAAGCGCAAGUGACGGUACCUACAGAAGAAGGACCGGCCAACUACGUGCCAGCAGCCGCCGUAA
rnacentral:rRNA from 1 species